rnacentral:rRNA from 1 species
AGUGAACGCUGGCGGUAGGCCUAACACAUGCAAGUCGAACGGCAGCACAGUAAGAGCUUGCUCUUACGGGUGGCGAGUGGCGGACGGGUGAGGAAUACAUCGGAAUCUACUUUUUCGUGGGGGAUAACGUAGGGAAACUUACGCUAAUACCGCAUACGACCUACGGGUGAAAGCAGGGGAUCUUCGGACCUUGCGCGAUUGAAUGAGCCGAUGUCGGAUUAGCUAGUUGGCGGGGUAAAGGCCCACCAAGGCGACGAUCCGUAGCUGGUCUGAGAGGAUGAUCAGCCACACUGGAACUGAGACACGGUCCAGACUCCUACGGGAGGCAGCAGUGGGGAAUAUUGGACAAAGGGCGCAAGCCUGAUCCAGCCAUACCGCGUGGGUGAAGAAGGCCUUCGGGUUGUAAAGCCCUUUUGUCGGGAAAGAAAAGCAGCAGGUUAAUACCCCGCUGUUCUGACGGUACCCAAAGAAUAAGCACCGGCUAACUUCGCG